rnacentral:lncRNA from 1 species
CUCCGUAUCUUCUGCUUCAUUUUCUCUUUCUGCUGCAUUAUUCUUAAGAUCCCGAUGGAAGACCCUGCAGUUUAUGGUGUUGGCAAAGCUGACACGUCGAGAGCUUUUCCUACGUUUUUCUAUGUUGAGAUCCUGGGUGAGUUCAUUCCCAUUUCCCAGAUCAUCAAGAGGAUUUCGUGGAGCCUUUAAUAUAGAGGACAGUCGUUUUCCUCUGAUGUGCUCUGUGUUAUCGUUCUCCACGUUAGAGUCCAUGUAAAUUUUGUCCAUUUCUGCAAGAAGUGUUUCUCCUAUAAAAAACAGUACACUCUCGGCCGCUCUCCGCCGCUGACCCCCAGCCCCACAGCACCCAUAGGACUGGGCCGCCGCUGCCGCCUCACAAUUCAAAC